AAACUUCCUCAAGUGGGUGUGUCUCCUCCCUCGCUCAGUUCCAGACUGAGGGAGGAGGACAGAGGGAUCUACUCUCCUCCUCCUGGAGUCUACCUAAUGUAGGUUUUAGGCCGAGAGGAGGAGUGUGUGAGUGUGUUUUCAGAACACAACUCUUGAGGAGAAGAGUAGGUGAAAGGAGGUGCCAUAAGGGUGUCAGUACUAGGAGGUGCUAGGAGGAGGUGCCAUAAGGUGUCAGUACUAGGAGGUGCCAUAAGGUGUCAGUACUAGGAGGUGCUAGGAGGAGGUGCCAUAAGGUGUCAGUACUAGGAGGUGCCAUAAGGUGUCAGUACUAGGAGGUGCCAUAAGGUGUCAGUACUAGGAGGUGCCAUAAGGUGUCAGUACUAGGAGGUGCCAUAAGGUGUCAGUACUAGAAGGUGCCAUAAGGUGUCAGUACUAGGAGGUGCCAUAAGGUGUCAGUACUAGGAGAUCCAUAAGGUGUCAGUACUAGGAGGUGCCAUAAGGUGUCAGUACUAGGAGGUGCCAUAAGGUGUCAGUACUAGGAGGUGCUAGGAGGAGGUGCAUAUGGUGUCAGUACUAGGAGGUGCUAGGAGGAGGUGCAUAAGGUGUCAGUACAAGGAGGUGUAGGAGGUGCCAUAAAGGGUCAGUGCAAGGAGGUGCUAGGAGUUGCCGUAAGGUGUCAGUACUAGGAGGGCUAGGAUGAGGUGCCAACAGGUGUCCAGUACAAGGAGGUGCUAGGGAGGUGCCAUAGGUGUCAGUGCAAGGAGUGCUAGGAAGUUGCCGUAAGGUGUCAGUAAAAGGGAGUUUUCGGUACAAGCAGGUGCCAUAAGGUUCAGUCCAAGGAGGUGCUAGGAGGAGGUGCCAUUUCUAGAA